UACGGAGGGUGCAAGCGUUAUCCGGAUUCACUGGGUUUAAAGGGUGCGUAGGCGGAUAGGUAAGUCCGUGGUGAAAUCCUGCAGCUUAACUGCAGAACUGCCAUGGAUACUAUUUAUCUUGAAUGUCGUGGAGGUUAGCAGAAUAUGUCAUGUAGCGGUGAAAUGCUUAGAUAUGACAUAGAAUACCCAUUGCGAAGGCAGCUAACUACGGCAUAAUUGACGCUGAUGCACGAAAGCGUGGGGAUCGAAACAGGA
rnacentral:rRNA from 1 species